rnacentral:tRNA from 1 species
AUUUAUCUAGUAUACAUGUAUAGUUGACUUCCAAUCAAAAGGGCUGAAUAAAAAUUCAGGAUAAAUA